CCCCCCCAGCCAACAUCCGCUAGCAAGGAGACCUAAUGCAGCAAUGGCCACACUUGCAUUAGUACUUCACCCAUAGGAAAGCACGUAUAAUGCUUUGCUAUUGGGUUUCACUUGACGCUGAAUGUCCUCAUGCAUAGCGUGAGGACAUCCAGCAUCAGUUCGGUGACCAAAAGUUGCCAGAAGUCCCUUUAGUAUCUGUCUUGUAGACAACCACUAGAAGUGGAG